GCAAGUCGAGGGGCAGCAUUUACUUCGGUAAGAUGGCGACCGGCGCACGGGUGCGUAACGCGUAUGUAACCUACCUUAUACAAAGGGAUAGCCCAUGGAAACGUGGAUUAAUACCUUAUGGUACUAUAAAACUGCAUAGUUUAAUAGUUAAAAUUUCGAUGGUAUAAGAUGGGCAUGCGUAGGAUUAGGUAGUUGGUGAGGUAACAGCUCACCAAGCCGACGAUCCUUAGGGGUUCUGAGAGGAUUAUC
rnacentral:rRNA from 1 species